rnacentral:lncRNA from 1 species
GUUUCACCUCCAGUGCCACCCACGCAGGUUACUCCCCCCUCCCAGGUGACACCUAUGCAGGUGGCAUCUGAGGAACCUCCCAGGACGGUGACGGCGACAGCCCCAAAAAUCCCCAAAUUCAACCCAAAAAUCCACCCCAAAAUUCCCAAAUUCAGCCCAAAAAUACACCCAAAAAAUCCCCAAAUUCAGCCCAAAAAUCGCCCAAAAAUCCUGAAAUUCAGCCCAAAAAUACACCCAAAAAUCCUGAAAUUCAACCCAAAAAUCCACCCAAAAAUUCCUGAAAUUCACCCCAAAAAUCCCCAAAUUCAACCCAAAAAUACACCCCAAAAUCCUGAAAUUCAACGCAAAAAUCCACCCCAAAUUCCCCCCAAAAUCCCAAAAAUCCACCCAAAAAUCCAUCCAAAAAAUCCCUGAAUUCACCCCAAAAAUCCACCCAAAAAUCCCCAAAUUCGCCCCAAAAAUCCUGAAAUUCACCCCAAAAAUCCCUCCCAAAAUCGCCAAAAAAUCCACCCAAAAAUCCUAAAAUUCACCCCAAAAAUCCACUCAAAAUUCCCAAUUUCAAAAAAUGCCUCCCUUGGAAAAAUCCCCAAAUUUCCUCAAAAAUCCCCCCAAAAAAAUUCAAAAAUGUAAAAAAAAUUUCCCCAAAUCCCCUAAAAAUUCCCCCAAAAUUCCUUUUAAAUCCCAUUAAAAACAACAAAAAUAAUUCCCUAAAAUCCAUCCCAAAAUCCCUAAAAAAUCCCCAAAAAUUCCUCCUAAAAAUCUCAUUAAAACCCAAAAUAUUCCCCCCAAAAUCCCCAAAAUCCCACAAAAAUCCGCCCUAAAAAUCCUCCAAAAAUAAAAAUAAAUCUCCUAAAAUUCCCAAAAUAUUUUCCCCAAAUUCCAUUAAAAACCACCAAAAAAUCCCCAAAAUUCCCCCAAAUUCCUGCCCAAAAAUCCCUUUAAAAAUUCCAAAAAUAUCCCCAAAAAAUCUCCAAAUAAUCCCUUUAAAACCCAAAAAAUUCUCUGUAAAAAAUUAUUGUCAAAAAUAAAAGUGGAGACAAUUUUGGGGAUUUUUUUUUUAAUUUUGGUUUUUUUGGGAAUAUUUUUUUUAUUUUUGGGGGGAACUUUUGGGAAUUUUUAGGGGUUUUGGGGAUAUUUUUUGGGGCAGUUCUUGAGAUUUUAAAAAUAAUUUUGGGGGGUGUUUGGGGUGGAUUCUUUGGGACAUUCGGGGAUUUAUUGGGGAAUGGUUUUAUGGGAUUUGGGGAGAUUUUGGGGGAUUUUUGGUUCAUUUUUAGAGAAUUUUUGGGAUUUUUUUUUAAGAUUUUGGGAAUUUUUGGCUCAUUUUUAGAGCAUUUUUAGGAAUUUUUUUUUUUUUGAUGGGGAAUUUUUUUGAG